rnacentral:tRNA from 1 species
UCCCUGGUGGCUCAGAGGUUAAAGCGUCUGCCUGCAAUGCAGGAGACGCAGGUUCGAUCCCUGGGUUGGGAA